AACGAACGCUGGCGGCAUGCCUAACACAUGCAAGUCGAACGAGACCUUCGGGUCUAGUGGCGCACGGGUGCGUAACGCGUGGGAACCUGCCCUUAGGUUCGGAAUAACUCCCCGAAAGGGGUGCUAAUACCGGAUAAUGUCUUCGGACCAAAGAUUUAUCGCCUUUGGAUGGGCCCGCGUUGGAUUCGCUAGUUGGUAGGGUAAAAGCCUACCAAGGCGACGAUCCAUAGCUGGUCUGAGAGGAUGAUCAGCCACACUGGGACUGAGACACGGCCCAGACUCCUACGGGAGGCAGCAGUGGGGAAUAUUGGACAAUGGGCGAAAGCCUGAUCCAGCAAGGCCGCGUGAGUGAUGAAGGCCUUAGGGUUGUAAAGCUCUUUUACCCGGGAUGAUAAUGACAGUACCGGGAGAAUAAGCUCCGGCUAACUCCGUG
rnacentral:rRNA from 1 species